rnacentral:lncRNA from 1 species
UGGCUCUGCUAUAUUGUGGGACUUGUGGGAACUGGCUGGCACACAGUGGAUCUCUUCCUUAGCUACCUCCUGUUGGUGGUUGUGUAUAUCUAAACGGAAAAUGACAGCCAGAAAACACCACGAGAAAGAAAGCAGCUGCUCUAACGAGGAGAGCAGGUUGAUGUGGAGCGGGUAGAAAUUAAUCUCUCGGAAGUGCCUCUUCACAGCCAGGUGACAUGUCAGAGCCACUCAGGAAAGGCUUACCCCAACUCCUGAACCAAGCAGCCUCCCAGAACUUAGCUCCUGGGAAGAACUUCUCAAGACCAUUCUCAUUUCAACAAAGCUCUGGUAUAACAGGGCACCUGGGGGGGGGGGGGGGAAGGAACGACGACCACAGGUUGUUCUACUAGUUUGGGGAAAAGAAUGUUGUUCUACUAGUUUCCCGGGAUUGCUGCAAUUGGCCGGAAACCACCGGGAGAAGAAGGAAGGAGAAAUAAAGGAAGAUUAAUCACCUAUAGUUAAGUAAAUUACAUACAUUUUUUUGGGGUCAUCAACAGGUUGUAAGUAAGCUCUCUAUAUACCAAUUUUGGAAAAUCUUGAACUGGAA